rnacentral:rRNA from 1 species
UAGCGAAGGGGCUAGCGUUGUUCGGAAUCACUGGGCGUAAAGCGCACGUAGGCGGAUCGGUUAAGUCGGGGGUGAAAUCCCAGGGCUCAACCCUGGAACUGCCUUCGAUACUGGCGAUCUUCGAGUCCGGGAGAGGUGAGUGGAACUCCGAGUGUAGAGGUGAAAUUCGUAGAUAUUCGGAAGAACACCAGGUGGCGAAGGCGGCUCACUGGCCCGGUACUGACGCUGAGGUGCGAAAGCGUGGGGAGCAAACAGG